AGAGUUUGAUCCUGGCUCAGAACGAACGCUGGCGGCGUGGAUUAGGCAUGCAAGUCGUACGAGAAUGGGAUUUGAACAUUCCUUCGGGAAUGGGAUGGUCCCUAGUAAAGUGGCAAACGGGUGAGUAACACGUGGGUAAUCUGCCCUCGAGUUGGGGAUAACAUUCCUAACGGGAUGCUAAUACCGAAUAACAUCACCGGGUCUUCGGGCCUGGCGAUCAAAGGUGGCCUCUGCUUGCAAGCUACCACUUGAGGAUGAGCCCGCGGCCCAUUAGCUUGUUGGUGUGGUAACGGCUCACCAAGGCUAUGAUGGGUAGCUGGUCUGAGAGGAUGGUCAGCCACACUGGGAUUGAGAUACGGCCCAGACUCCUUCGGGAGGCAGCAGUCGAGAGGCUUUGGCAAUGGGGGAAACCCUGACCAAGCGACGCCGCGUGGGUGAUGAAGGCCUUCGGGUCGUAAAGCCCUGUUGUGGGAGAAGAAAAGCUACAUGGAUAAUACCCACGUAGUUUGACGGUAUCCUAGGAGGAAGCUCCGGCUAACUCCGUGCCAGCAGCCGCGGUAAUACGGAGGGAGCAAGCGUUGUUCGGAUUUACUGGGCGUAAAGGGCGUGUAGGCGGCCUUGUAAGUCGGGUGUGAAAUCCUUCGGCUCAACCGGAGACGUGCACUCGAUACUGUAAGGCUUGAGUGCAGGAGAGGAGAGUGGAAUUCCUGGUGUAGCGGUGAAAUGCGUAGAUAUCAGGAAGAACACCAGUGGCGAAGGCGACUCUCUGGCCUGCUACUGACGCUGAGGCGCGAAAGCCAGGGGAGCGAACAGGAUUAGAUACCCUGGUAGUCCUGGCCGUAAACGUUGGGCACUAGGUGUAGGGGGUAUCGACCCCCUCUGUGCCGAAGCUAACGCAUUAAGUGCCCCGCCUGGGGAGUACGAUCGCAAGAUUGAAACUCAAAGGAAUUGACGG
rnacentral:rRNA from 1 species